AAGGGUAAACUCUGCAUGAACAUCAAAAGAUAAUUGGGUUAAUAUUCCCAAACCAGGACAUGGUGGUGGAUGACAAUGUUAGGAAAUCUGGAGAUGUCAUCAGGGGCCUGGGAAGAGUUAUAUUUUCUUUUUAACGAAUUUCCCACCCUGAAAUCAGUUCAACCGGAGAUAGGUUCCAACACCUAGAAGAGAACCACACAUCUUGCGGUGUUUGGUGCCCCCUCAGUGACCAUUGAAAAUAUGGAGAACCGAGUACCAUCCAUGCCUGAUCAUACUCAUAUCUACCUCCUUGGAUUUUUCAAUGCCCACUAGGUUAGUGGUCUUG
rnacentral:ncRNA from 1 species